GGGGGUGAUUGGUCUCGACAGCGGCUGUCGAGUGAGGUGAAGCGGGCCGAGGAAGGCAACGAUGAUCUCGAAAACCAUCCGUUGCAAAAAAUCAAGCGCCGACAACAGUCAGCGCGAGUUCGCCCUCGCCGCCUGAGCGAGUAGCGACUCCGUCAGGCCGGGUGUGUCUCCGACCCGGGUCCUGGCGUCGACAAGGGGACUCACCAAUGGAUCCGGUCGCGGGAUCCUGCGGGACAACUCACAGCGACUGGGCCUGUCGCACCGGCACGUUCGCAUGACCGGUGGGGCCGAGUAGGGACGACGCGGACUGCGCCCGGAGAAGCCCUCACAACGCAACGUUGGACGCGGGUUCGAUUCCCGCCACCUCCAC
rnacentral:tmRNA from 1 species